rnacentral:lncRNA from 1 species
CCGAAUAGAAACGUUUUGAUGCUUCUGUUAUUGGAUUAAAUUACUGUUACUAAUUACUUACCUAUUCUGAAACUAACUAUUAUGGCAGAACAAACUAAAUGUCAAAACCACUUCAUAUUAAUAUCACCUGCUACAGUGAAGCAAACCAACAACCUAGCAAUUUCGAAUUUUAAAACUAACAGCAUGUAAAUAUAAGCAUAACAAUUCAAUAGUCCCUAGUUACAGUCCAUGUGCAUCUACCAUUCAUAUAAUACAACACAAAUGGCUAAUAUCAACUAUGUCUAAUUAACUAUUAUCAAUUCAGUGACAAACAUCAGAAGACAUCCAAACAUAUAUAAAGCUGCAAACUCUUUUCAUUUCAACUUCAAUUUCCAUCUACAUCGAGGGAUUCAAGAGAAGAUAUCUGGGAUUUAACAGAAAUAAGAAGGAGGAAGGUCAGUAGCAGCAACAGUGGAUCAAAAACAGCCCAGGAAAAGUUCAGAAGAGGACAGAAUCAGGAGAACCAAUCGUAAACCACUUGAAUCCACCCAAAUAAACACAAAAUUGAACUCAGGCAAUCCAUAACACCUUCAGCAACAGAAACAACUAUACAACAACUUAAAUAUACCUCAUCCUGAUUGCAAAGACCAAAUCAAGUAGUUUCAGAACUUCAAUUACUAAUUACUGAACUGGAAUGGCAAACUGGAAGCCAACCUCGAAUUUGAAUUGCUAAAUUCCAAUGGAACAGUUGUGUUUUUGUUUUUGUUUUUGAUUUUUGUUUUUUUGGUUUUUGAAUUUGAAAAUUAUUACAUAUCUGGAAGAAUUAGAAUGGCAAGAGCGUUUUUGAGCUAAUAAUGGCUAAAAAAGAAGCCCCUAGCAAGUCUGUUUUGAUCCCUUUUUAUAGGUGAAUUCAGGUCUUUGAAUUACCUCUUAGGUCCCUAUUCAAUUUCUCUUUCAAUCCCUAAACUUCCUAACUUAUUUUGCAAGCUUGCAUCCUCUUUAUUGAUAUUUCAUUACGAC